CGCUGAUGUUAUAUUUCCCCUGAAGACGCCUCUCCUCCGCCUCCAGCUGCUCCUUUUCACGCAUUUCAAAGUCGGACUCCAGGGCGUCAAAGACGGCGGCCCCCACGAGCAGGUUCCAUGCGCUCCAGACAGACACCGUGCGGGGGGGCGGCUCUCCUUCCGCCUGUCAGCGUGUCACGACUCCGCGGAGCUCCGGCAUGAGUUCACCUGCUGCUGUAAGCCUUCCUCCCCACGCAGCGGGGCUGCGCCCCUCCCCGAACUCCCACUAUGACCACUCCUCCUCACGGAGCUUCACCAGCUCAGAUGAUGGGCUUUCUAUGGAGCCCCGUCCGCGGUGCUGAAGAGACGCAGUGAAGCUUUACCCAGACUUAAAAAAAACUUUUAAACAAAUGACUUUAGUCUGAGAGCUGAACACAUUUUUUUAAAAUCCUUUCUGGCUCCAUGAAGAGCUCUGUUAGAGAUGUUUCUCUUGUUCAGCUUCAGAUCUUUGCUGUUCUUCUGCUGAAGCUUUGAACUGACAAAACUAAGCUGUAAAUGUAAAAAAACAGCAACAAAUGCAACAGAAAACGUUUUCAGGUAGAGAACUGAGUCAUAAUCUUUGUUUUUCACGUGGGUUUUCAAAAAACUCAUGUCUUUACAUUUGUAAUUUCCUAAAUAACCGUACAUUUUAUUUGCUUCCCCUCACAUUCAUGGUUUUAGACAUGUUUAACAUGAAUAUUUAUGCCUAAGCUUAAACAAGCCCGAGGAGUGUUGUAAAAUACCUAUAAAAAGAAAUGAAGGUUUACUUUUUUAA